rnacentral:ncRNA from 1 species
UGAAUGGCGAUGAAGAAGAGGAGUACGUCAUUAGGAUGUUUUAGAGAGAAGGCGUUUGGUGCAAGUCUUCGCAUUCUGUGAUGGAAGGUCGCUUUGGAGCUGCUAUGCCCUCAAAACGGCGUAGCCGUCGACGACGUUACCGUGAGAGUCUUGGAUUUUUCCGGGAGAAGAUUGGUGGUACCACGAAAGCGUACGCUUUCGUCCUUUUG